UCAAGUGAAAUGAAACUAUGACAAUGGUGGUGAUCCAAGAAGAAGAAGAUACAUUUAAAUUAUUUUGAUAUAAUUGAUUUUUUUUUUUUUUUUUUUCCGUAAGAAAUCUUUUAUUAUACUACAAUAGUUUGAAAAGACCUACUUCUAUGGUCUGCUAUGAAAAGAUGUGCCACGCAUAGCUUCUGCUAUGAAAAAAGAAAAGGACGACUUUGACUACCAGUCUCCUCCCUCGAUAAAAGCAUAGAGAGUGAAGAGAACUUAAAGCUGUUUCUUGCAUCUUCAUCAAUUUAUACUUUGUAAAGAUCCAAGUCUGUGUCCAAGCUAAGACUCUUUACUCACAACCAGGCUGGCUGCUGUUUACUUAUGGGCACCGCAUUAAGCAUACUGAAAUUGAGAAGUAGAGCCAGCUCAGAAGAAGAAGAAGGGGAAAAGGAGGGAAAUAUGUUGCGCUAUGGAGGCAUGUUAUUGGAAGAGCUGCUCCAUUCAUGUGAUGGAAAAUAUAAUCCGUUCCGAAUUUUCUCAGCUCAAGACCUUGUAAUUGCAACCAAUCACUACUUUGACCUAAUUUCAGGAAGAUGGUUGGUACAAGAUCUACAGGGGUUCCUUCAAUGACCGUCCGGUACUUGUCAAGUCUUUUCACAAGUAUAUAAAACAUGGUAUUAAUGAAAUUGUGUUUGCCUCACAGUUAAACAACCACAACAACAUACACAUGCUCUUGGGCUGCUGCCUUUGAACUGAAUAUCCGAUCCUAGUGUUGGAGUAUCCGGAAAAUAGACUUCUUUCUCAUCAUAUAUUUGACGAUCAUCAUCAUCAUCAUCAUCAUCCGCCACUACCUUGGAUUGCAGGUUGAAGGUUGCCAAGGAGGUUGCUGAUGCUUUGGCGUAUCUCCACACUGGGUUGUCCACGCCCAUCAUUCACAUAUACGUAAAAGCAUCAAGCAUAUAAUGUGCAAGGGACUUUUGGAUAUUUGGCUCCAGAAUACUUGCAAACAAAACAAGUUACUGCCAAGUGUGAUGUUUACUCUUUCGGAUCGCUGUUGACUGAAAUUUUGUCAGGAGAAAAGAUUAUGGCUUCACACUUACGUAAUGACAAUUCACAUCUUGAUUCUAUUUUGGGCUUCCCGGAAGAGAGGGCAAGCCACAGCUUCGUCAACUUAUUAUUGAGAGAGCUACAAACUAUAUGGGAGUAGAUAUCAUUUUGGAAGAUCAAUACAAGCUUUCAUUGGCAUGGAGACUUACAUCCAAAUGCCAUAGUAUAAAUCCAGAGGAAAGGCCAACAAUGACACAAGUAUCAAAAGAGAUUACAAGGAUUAUCAAAUUUCAAUUGAACCAGACUCCGUCAAUCUCUCCCACCACCCAUCAUGCUUGUUGAAUUGUGAGCUCACUUUCUCUAGGCAUAUUAAGCCGCAAGA